rnacentral:snoRNA from 1 species
UUGUAUGUGGAAAUGUCUGCUCCUUAUUUCUUUGAGAACAAGAAUAUAUUCAUUACAUGGUACAUUAAAACAGGAGUUCUCAUGGUGGCUCAUAGGCAAGAAGGUCACCUGAGACCGGGAGUUAGAGACCAGCCUGGACAAUAUAGUGAGACUCUGUCUUAA